rnacentral:rRNA from 1 species
UAAGGAAUAUUGGUCAAUGGGGGCAACCCUGAACCAGCCAUGCCGCGUGCAGGAAGACGGACCUAUGGUUUGUAAACUGCUUUUGUACGGGAGAAAACCCUACUACGUGUAGUAGGUUGAUAGUACCGUAAGAAUAAGGAUCGGCUAACUUCGUGCCAGCAGCCGCGGUAAUACGAAGGAUCCAAGCGUUAUCCGGAUUCAUUGGGUUUAAAGGGUGCGUAGGCGGAUUUAUAAGUCAGCGGUGAAAUCUCUCGGCUUAACCGAGAAACUGCCGUUGAUACUGUAGAUCUAGAGUACAGAUGAUGUUGGCGGAAUAUGACAUGUAGCGGUGAAAUGCUUAGAUAUGUCAUAGAACACCGAUUGCGAAGGCAGCUGACAAAACUGUAACUGACGCUGAGGC